UUAAGGCAAGCAUGAGGAAAGUUGAUAUUUUCAGUUUUUUUUUUUUUUUUUUGGGGGUUCGAAAUCUGAUGUCAUUGAACAACCCAAACGGGAAGGAGCAAUACAGAGAUAAAAGCAGAGCAAUACAAACAGAGUUGGAUCAAGAAACAACUAGAACACAACUUCUAACCCUGAACAAAAUUGAACUAAUUAAUAGGGGGGCAUGGGAGCCCAUCAGAGACGAGGACACGCAUCAAAGACGGAGGUGGUCGAUUGACCCAACUUUCCAGUUCCACCGCUCUUGCACCUAUCAAUGUUGCGACGUGAGCAGCUCGAUUCCUUUUGCGGGGGAUCCAGUUCCAUUCGAUAUGGGGGAAGGCAUACGAGACCUUCCUAAUCUCUUGAAUGAGGGGAUAAAUUAUCCAGAUUCUAUUGCCAACAGCCCCUUUGAUCCCAUUGUGGUUGUGGAUGCAUCGUUCGUCCAUCCAAUUCCAACAUCAACAUCAACAUCCAUGUGAUGUUCCCCGGGUUGAAAGAAACUUGUACGCCUACAACUUUGAAAUGCAAUAUGAAUCAGAAGAUCAGACAGCAGCUAGCAAGCAACCAAGCAUAACAAGAAUAUAUAUAGACCAAGACGGCCAUCAAUAAAAUCGGCUCACUUUAGCAAACUAGUCGAACCCGCGGCUUUGACUCAAUGAAAAUUCGACUUCUUAAAUGUUAGUUGUACAUAGAGAGAAUAGAAAGAAUUUUUGUAAGUGUGAUUGUGAUACCGCUGCAUAGAGUACGCUACAUGAUUUUAGCAAUUGAGGUACCCUUUUCUUUUCUUAUGAAGGGCGCAAAUUUCUCCCUCCUCUAAAUGAUAACCUUUUGAUUCGGAGAGAGAGAGAAAUUAUAGAAUUGGUAAUAAGGGGUGGAUUGUCAUUGUCAAAGAUACAUAAUAUCUUCUUAGCUGGAACUUGGAAGAUGCCAAAAAAGAAUAUUCCGCUGGUUUUAUAUUAAUAUGCGUCAACUCUUAAACGAAUAAUAUUGUAUUUUGGGUUAUAUCGAGACAGUUUUCUAUUGUUUGAUGAAUUUUCCAAGAAAAGGACGUGCAAAACAAAACGUUAGCUAUGGAAGUGAGAAAUUGAAAAUGUUCUAUCUUUCCACUUCGUUUUGAUUCUAAGAUUGUUUUUUCACCCCCCACAAUUAAAGCUGUCUUAGGUAGAUUCUGAAUUUCGGGAUAUUAUUAUUUUGCAAGGAACUCUUCAUUUGAUUUUUGUUGUUCUUGUCAUUCUCAACUGCAUUACCUUCAUUGUUACGAAGAAGCACUGCUUGAUAUAUUUAGCGGUUGCUUUCACCAUUUCACUAGGAACAUAUUUGGGGUACUUCCGUACACAGAUGAAAAAGAAAUUUAACAUCAAAGUAAGCUUUCUUUCUUUGUCCAUCAUCGUGUGUGGUUCCUUACUAACUGAUAAUUUUUGGUUUUACCGUGAAUGAGUAGUUUUCUUUUCUUCGUCUAAUAUUAGUAUUUGCCUCAUAUUGUCUAUUCAUAUUUUUAAUCCUGUACUCUUCUGCAUUAAGGUUGCUCUCUCUUUUUAAUUCAAGGGUGCAAAAGCCACAUGCUAUAGAAAAAUAGAGAAAAUUUGGGUGUGGUUGGGUAGAUGGAUUGCAUUUUCUAUUAUUGUAAAGAGGGUGCGAUUGCUAUAUGAUUGACCAUUGGCAAGUGUAAUGUUAUGAAUCCAUGCAUUCUUAGGAAAGAAGAUAGUUCCAUGUGAAUAUACUAAUUACGUACCUUCCAGGUAUUUAUGAUCUGAUUGCGAUAAAGUUUUCACAAUCUUUUAACUUAUGCCUUCUGUUGGUUAUGUUUCAUGGUUAUACUUGAAUUACACUACAUUGUUGUGGGAAAUGUUUUUAUUUUCAGGGUAGUGAUAGUUCCUUGGAUGAUUGCAUCUACCAUCUUAUCUGCCCAUGCUGUGCAUUAUGUCAGGUGAUUAUCGUUGCGGAACCUAUGCUUGCAAGAUAGUUGUCAAAAUGGCUGAUUGUAGUUAUCACAAGUGUUUGUGGUACCCAGUGAAGAAGUAAGAUGUUUAGCCCCAUGCAUGUUCUUUCUUUUUCAAUUGAUGCUUUGCCCCGCCUUUCCUCUUACUGGUAGUCAUUUGUGAGUGUGAUUCAGAUGAAUUAAAACCUCAGUGUGCUUGGAAUAUUAUGCCUUUCAUGGUUGCAGGAUUCUUUAUGUGGUUUUUAUAACUGAUUGAUGUCAACCUCUUUUGUCAUGACUUUCAUGCAUAUUACUAGAAUAAGCAUUAGAAUUUUCUAAUCUCUAUUGUGACUGACGUUAACAUUUCUCUUCCAAAUUACUUCUACUAAGACAUUAACACUGAUGAGUUCCUUAAUAUGAGGUUUUUCCUCUCUGUUAUCAUAUCAUAUAAUGAUAAGGAGGCAUCAUAUAUAUAAAUUUCAUUCUUGUUGUGAAGCUUUCUCAAGUAAAGUAUAUAAUUACCUUCACCAGAUUAGACACUUGAUCGUUGCAGCACAACUUAAGAAAUCCAACUGAAGGACGUAAAGUCAUAUAAACCUUAAACCAUUCCAUGUUUGCAAUUUGACAAGUGGUCAUCUUUUGACACAAAUCCACUUUAUACAGGUUUUGCAUUGUAGUUUUGCACAAACUACAUUGCAGUUUUCAUUUAAUUACAAUUGGAUUUUUGCUCUUUCCUUGGCCUUCAACCUCACCAAUUUGAAGAGUAGAGGAUACCCAUAUGAGGAAUUGAGUGGGCAAGAGAAGAGUAGAACUACCCAAGAGCAAGGGAACUCAAAAUUGGACUUUUGGAAACUGCAUUGCAGUUUUCAUUUAAUUACAAUCUUUGCUCGUCUUUGGCCUUCAACCUCACCAAUUGGAAGAGUAGAGGCUACCUAAAUGAGGAAUUGGGUGGGCAAGAGAAGAGUAGAACUACCCAAUAGCAAGAGAACUCAAAAUUGGACUUUUGGAAACUCCAUUGCAGUUUUCAUUUAAUUACAAUUGGAUUUUGAUCUUUCAUUGGCCUUUAACCUCACCAAUUUGAAGAGUAGAGGCUACCCAUAUGAGGAAUUGGGAGGGCAAGAGAAGAGUAGAACUACCCAAGAGCAAGGGAACUCAAAAUUGGACUUUUGGAAACUGCAUUACCAGGAACAGAGUAUUUUACCAACAUGUAUUGAAUAUAAAAAAAAAGGCUUAUUAUGCUCUGCACCAUUUACAACUACCGAAAAGCUCAAAUGCACUCGUCACCAAUUAUUGGGCUGGAGCAAGUGCAAUUUUGGCCACCUGCCAAACCAAAUUAAAAUUACACAGGAGAAAUUGGGUGAGUUAUUAGAUGCACCGCCACACAUCAUACAGUGGAGCUACGAAAUGCGCUUACGAAGCAGCUUGAUUCUCUAAUGGCAAAAAAUGAGGUGUAUUGGCGGCAACGCUCAAGAGCUACUUGGUUGAAAGCGGGAGAUCGCAAUUCAAAAUUCUUCCAUUACAAAGCCUCUAGCCGCCGGAGAAGAAACACUAUCUCAGCGCUUGAAGAUGAGCAUGGACAUUGGCAGACAACAGAGCAAGGUUUAACACAAACUGUGGUUAAUUAUUUCCAGCACUUGUUUUCUUCCACAGGGUCUUCCGAUUAUACAGAAGUAGUGGACGGUGUAAGGGGGCGUGUCACAGAGGAGAUGAACCAGGCUCUUUUGGCGGAGUUUACUCCAGAAGAAAUUAAAAUUGCACUUUUUCAAAUGCACCCAUCUAAGGCACCAGGCCCAGAUGGCUUCUCUCCUUUUUUCUAUCAGAAAUAUUGACAGAUUGUAGGUGAGGAUGUGGUGGCGGCAAUCUUGCACUUCUUCAAAACGGGCAAAUUACUUAAGAAGAUAAACUUCAAGCAUGUGGCCCUCAUCCCUAAAGUCCAUGAACCAAAGAACAUGAUGCAAUUACGUCCCAUCAGUCUAUGUAAUGUCCUUUAUAAGAUUGGGGCGAAAGUGCUCGCCACCCACCUAAAAGCAAUCCUUCCUACUCUGAUUAGUGAUACUCAAAGUGCUUUUGUUUCAGGCCGUGCAAUCUCAGACAAUUCAAUCGUGGCUUUUGAAUUGCUACACAUGAUGCAUAAGAAAAAUCAUGGACGACAAGGGUAUCUGGCUCUCAAGAUUGACAUGAGUAAAGCAUAUGAUCGGGCAGAGUGGAGUUUUCUGGAGGCCCUAAUGAAAGGAAUGGGUUUUGCCCCACGAUGAAUCCAAUUAAUCAUGGAGUGCGUGACGACGGUUUCGUAUUCUUUCAUGUUGAAUGGAAAUUCAGUUGGUUAUGUCAUUCCACAGAGAGGACUUAGACAGGGUGACCCCCUUUCACCAUAUUUAUUCUUACUAUGCGCUGAGGCUCUCUCAAGUCUUAUUUUGCAGGCGGAACGACGUAAUUUACUUCAUGGAGUGAAUCUAUGUCGGGGGGCUACGUCUGUUAGCCACCUUUUUUUCGCUGACGACAGCUUCUUGUUCUUGCGGGCAAACCAACAGGACUGUGAACAAAUGAGCAUUAUUUUCCAAAAAUAUGAAAUGGUGUCAGGUCAGAAAAUACACUUGGAGAAAAGUUGUGUCUCCUUCAGUAAUAAUAUGGACCGUACUGAUCAAGAUAACCUAGCUGCAGUUCUGGGAGUUAGGAGGGUUGACCAGCAUGAUGUUUACUUGGGGUUGCCUACUCAUGUGGGAAGAUCAAGAAGGCAAUGCUUCAACUCUCUUAAGGAGCGCAUUUGGAAGAAAAUACAAGGUUGGAAGGCAAAAUUGUUAAGUUUUGCAGGGAAAGAAAUUCUCCUAAAAGUGGUGGCACAAGCUGUGCCUAUUUAUAUGAUGAAUUGCUUCCUCAUCCCUAAAUGUCUAUGUGACGAAAUUCAACAAGUGAUGGCUCACUACUGGUGGGGUGAGCAAGAUGGCCAACGAAAAAUACACUGGCUCAGCUGGAACAAAUUAUGCUUGCCUAAACAGGAGGGUGGGCUUGGUUUCCGUAAUUUAUAUGCCUUCAAUAUGGCGCUCUUGGCCAAACAAUUAUGGCGCUUGAUUCAAACCCCAAACUCUUUAGUGGCACGCAUCCUGAAAGCCCGUUACUUCAAGAAUUGCUCUAUAUUAGAGGCACAAAUCGGACAUUCCCCCUCCUAUAUUUGGCAAAGCUUAUGUAAAGCACGUGUCCUUAUUGAAAAGGGAUCUCGGUGGCGAAUCGGGAAUGGCCACAGUGUGCGUAUAUGGGGAGACCGAUGGCUCCCUAACUCUGAAUCUUUCCAAGUUUCCUCACCACAAGCAGAGGGGUUUGAUGAGGCAAAAGUGAACUCUCUUAUUAAUCCAGUCACUGUGCAGUGGAAGGAGAACCUUUUGCAAGCUUGGUUCUCGGCCGAGGAAGUGAAUUGCAUUCGAAACAUCCCUUUAAGCUUCAGACACCCACCAGACAUCUUGAUUUGGCACUUUGAGAGAGAUGGUCAAUACACAGUGCGGAGCGGCCAUGAAGUUGCUCGUCGGGUUUUGCUCCGGCAAGACGGGGACGACACCAACAUGAAUGGAGGACCCAUUGUAGCUUGUGAACAGGUCUGGAAGAAGAUUUGGAAAGCCCGAGUACCACCAAAGGUUCUUAUAUUCAUCUGGCGCGCUCUCUUGAAUAUUUUACCCACUAAGGAUAAUUUGAUUCAUCGUAGUAUCUCUGAAUUGGGAGGCUGUGUUUUUUGUGGGGCUGAAGAAACUGUGGCCCAUGUGCUUCUCCGAUGCCCCAUGGCUAUUGCUUCUUGGUCUUUAUUUCCGGCCUGGGCACACUUUAAUACUGAUGCCACAGAGGAGUUCAAGAUGUGGUUCCAAGGAUUUGUUGCAGACCACCCACUUCAUGUGCUAGAGAAAGUCAUGGUGUGCCUAUGGAUGCUAUGGUAUGAGCGCAAUCAAAUGGCCUGGGCAGGACGUCAACGGAGUGCAACAGAAAUUGUUAGUGGAGCAAUGCACUGUUUGCAAGAGUUUCAGGAAGUACACCCCCUCCAAAGACCCAUACCUCACGUGCCAUUGCUAAAUGGGUGCGGCCACCGCCUGGAGCUAUUAAAAUAAAUGUGAAUGGAGUGUUUCAUGGUGAAUCCAGUUUUGGUGGGGUUGGUUUGGUGGUUCGUAAUUCUACAGGUGCCUUUCUUGCAUGCAAGUUGGUUGUGCUAAAUGGGAUAUCAAAUCUCAUGCAUGCCAAACUGGUUGCAUUAAGAGAAGGCUUAAUCUAUGCUGCCAAGUGGUCCAAUCUGGAAUGUCAUAUAGAAGGGGAUUCCCAAGGCGCUUUACACUCAAUACAACGGGGCCAAAUUGAUCUGUCCCAUCUUGGUUGCCUAACUGAGGAUUGUCAAACACUUUUGGCCAGCCAAGAGCGUGUUUAUUUGAGGGUUACAAAGAGGAGUGCAAAUGGGGUUGCAACAUGGUUGGCUCGAUAUGCUCUACACUCUCAGGGAAUAGCAGAAUGGGUUACUGAUCCCCCAGAAUUCCUACAAGAUGUUUUGUUCAUUGAUGUAAUGUAAUUUUCUUGUUGUGUACGUUAUCGGCAUAUGUGGUACUCUUUCCUACUCCGGAGUUUUUCCCUUGUGGUUUUCUCUGGGAAGGUUUUAACGAGGCCACGCAUGACAUGCCUUUUCUUCCUCCCUUCUAGUAGAAUGAAUUCAACCUUUUCAAAAAAAAAAAAAAAAAGGCUUAUUAUCACAAAACGUUCCUAACGUUUGCGAAACUAUCAUAUUACAUUUUUAAAUUUUUUUUUAUCACUCAUUAUCCCUAACGUUAAUAUAAAUACUCUUAAAUAGUCUUUUCAUUAAAAAAAUAGUUAAAUCCCGAAUUUUAUGAGGGAUAUAAUCCUCAACUCCCUUUUACCUCUCACGCUUCAAAUAUAUUUCCUCGUGGUCAUCGUCAACAUCAUCAGACCAUUUCUACGCUUUUUCUGAGAAAUAGGGUUUUUCAAUCGUGGGAAAUUGGGCGAUAAAGCUUCUGCAAAAAUGUCUGAGAGAAGAUGGAUGAGGCAAAUGAGCGUUGGGAGACCAAGACCAAACCUACAUUUGUGCACCCAAGGGUCUUGACCAGGUGUAGAAUCUCCAUAUCCAAGCAAUUGGAGAUGGCAGCGAGGCCUACGUUACUGACUAAAAGCUUUUCUAGAUGGAUCUCAACCAUGGAGGUGACUUGCUCUGCUAUCACCUGGAGAACCUUGUCCCAAUCGCCAGAGCACCUGAAAAGUUUCAGAGUCCUCAAAUUCUUCUUUUUUUCUCUGUUUUUUGCUUUUGGGCUUUAUUCGUCGAGUGUAAUAAAAUAACACAGGGAUUUUUGUGGCACUAGUAGUUCUGGGAAUUGGGUUUUACUGCCAACGUCUGAUGCAUUAAUUCUUAGUUAAUUUUUGUUUCUUUUUUGUUGUUUUUUGGUGUUGCAGAGUACAAAUCAGAGUAGCAGAGAAGCUUCAAAGCUCAGACUGAAACGACAAGUCGUCGGCAAGUGUGAUCGCAGUAUGCUUCUAGCCACGACGACGACAUGCCGGCAGAUCGCAAAAGAUUCGUCGUCGGCCUCCAUCGGCAGAUCGCAGCCGUUGAUUUGGGCUUGGAGCGAUGGCUGUUGCGGCAAAGCUUCUCGGCAAAAGUGUCCGGAAGUGAUUUUUUUAUGGAAGUCAUGUAGGGGUUAAUGUGAUGGAACUGAAUGUGGUUGAUGAUAUAAUUGAAUGUAUUAGUUUAUUCAAUUUGUUCAAGGUAUGUUGUUUACAGUUCAAUUUGUUUAUGUUAAUCCCUUUCAUUUUCACCCCUUACCUUUAGCAAUUCCAACAAGAAAUGGAGGGAAAUGGUUCCAAAUUGGUGACGGGUCUGAGUCAUUGAAGAGGUCAAAAGGAUUGAUUUGAAUAUUAUACUCCUCAAUUUAACAGUUUUUUUAACGGAUAGAUUAUUUAAAAGCACCCAUAUUAACGUUAGGGACCAUAAGUGAUACAAAAAAACUUUAAGGAUGCAAUCUGAUAGUUUCGCAAACGUCAUGGACGUUUUGUGAUAAUAAGCCUAAAAAAAAUAUUGUUUUGUUUUUUUUAACUUUAGAGCUGAGCAUUUUUUUUCCCAAACUCAACAUUGCCGUUUCCAUUUUUGUAUUGCAGUUUCUAUUUAUACAUUGUAGUUUCCAUUUUUGUAUUGCAGUUUAUGUUUAUUCAUUGCAGUUUCUAUUUCUGCAUCGCAGUUUCCAUUUUAGUACUUUCAUCUUGGUUCCUCCAUUUUGCUUCAAUAAAAUUAUUUUUUGUUUAUGUAGCUGUUUUUUUUUUUAAUUUUAAACAUAAUUGAUAUCUACAUUGUAUUUUUGUUGCAAUUUCUGUUUUUAUUUGCGAUUUUUGUGUGAAUAUGUGUUGAAAUGAUUUUUUUUUUUAAACCGUUGAUUGUUUAUAUAAAUAUUGUAUAACUGAAUAAAUAUUACAAAAUAAAGUUUGGUGUAGUGGUUUGUGAGUGAGCCUUCCUCCUUUGAGGAUCAAGGUUUGAGUCCCUUCAAAGACACAAAAUCUUUUUUUUUAAAAGGUGAAUAAAGGGCAAUGGAGUUGGUCCCCUAACAGUGGUCGACAGCAGGAGUCCAACAGUGGAGUCCGGCGGCGGGAGGCUAACGGUGGUGGCCGGUUGGCUAGAUAUGGACAUAUGACAUAGUAUGCUUGCCUUAGAAGGAGUGGCAUUGUGUGUAAUUUUGAUAUUUUUUAAUGAUAUUUUUGUAAAAUUAGGUACUACAUUUUGGUCUUUGGCCUUAUACUAACUAGAUGAAAUUGUAUUCUUAUCUUUCAAAUUAAUAAAUUGUAUUGUGUUUUAAAACUAAAGCUCUCUUUAUUUAAUAUGCGUCAACUCUUGAACCAAUAAUAUUGUAUUUUGGGUUAUAUCGAGACAGUUUUCUAUUGUUUGAUGAAUUUUCCAAGAAAAGGAUGUGAACACAUGAAUUAGCACUGCCGAGUCAAGAUUACAAAGAAAGAUGACUCUCUCUGUAAAUUUUUAAAAACAUGUCACUUUCAAGACUCCAUAUAUAAUCUAUUCACAACUCCAUGGGCUCAAUGCUGCCGAGUGCUUGCUUUAGCUGGAGCCUGGAAGAAGAACCACUCAGACUCAGCAUUCACAUCCUGUUCGGUGACAGACACACCAAAAUGCCAAUUAUUUUGUGAAUCUCAAUAAUUAUACAACCAUGCUUGAUAUAUUUAGUGGUUGCUUUCACCAUUUCACUAGGAACAUAUUUGGGGUACUUCCGUACACAGAUGAAAAAUAAAUCAUACAUAUCAGUAUACUUACUUCCUCCACGUGAUAUUCCGCAUCAUAGUUAGGCAAUGGAAUGUUUUAAGACCUUCUGAUUCUGAUCAUCCAUAAUGUUGUUGAUCGCUCGUCAAACUUUAACACUUGAUGAGCCUGGUCACACCAACACUCAGAUGGGAUCGAUCGCACUAUAUAUACAUGUUCAUCAACCAUGAUUAAUUUGUAUUAGAUACACUUAGGGGAGAUUUUAAUUGCUUAUUUGGAAGAAAUGAAAUCAAGAUUGAAAUGGUGAAUGAUACACUAAGGCGAUAUUGUCCUAAAAAUGAAUGGCGCUAUGUAAACUAAGUCGACUACGAGAGAUUAAUUAUCAAUUUAAGCAAGCAAAACACUUAAUGUAAUUUUAUGUAAUCACAUAGUUUGGUACGGAUAUUUGGCAGUGCCUUUGUCUUCUCCGAAGCAGCAUUUGAUAUUUUACAGAGAUAUGCAACCUUCCAAUUCCAAGACUUUGCACUUAUUCAUAUACCUAGGCUAUCAAUCAUGCUGAUCAGCCUUAGGCUUUACCAGUUAAGAAUGUAGUAACUCUAUCGUUUUCUGCCCUUGACAAAAACCUCAUGCAAAUUGGUGGCUUAACCCCGGCAAGAGAAAGUAUUGAAGCAGGCAAAGUCCAAACCCCAUCGCCACAGAUCAAACCAGAAGCUACUGCAGGCACAAAAGCAUCUGCCUUGGCCUUGUUCACCCUUUCCCACAGAAACACUAUCAAGCUCCCAAUGCACAUGUCAAUGGCAAAAUACGAUCCCAAAUAGAAAGGUAUUGCCAUUGCCAUUGGUAGUGGAACGAAGCGUGCCCUCUUCUUACCAAUGCAAUCCUUGAUCACGUUUGUGAGAAUGGCCGCGCCAAAGAAGACGGUGCAAAGUAAGAGGCAGUGCUUGGGGAGAGAUUUGAAGCCUUCCACCCCGAGAAUAGCCAUGUUACGAUACACAACAGCAAGGGGAGCAGGAUAGGCACUUUUUGGGGUGCCGAGGUCAGUGAAGGCUUUGUAGAAGAGCCAAAACACACAGGGAGAAAUUACACAACCCAUUGCUGUACCGAUGACUUGGCUCACAAACAUUGAGCGGGGGGAAGCCAAGGUUAGAUAGCCGGUCUUGAAAUCUUGGGUUAGAUCAGAGGCUGUCGAGACAAUGUUCAUCAUAACUCCGCAUGCUGCGAGUCCAGCAAGAACACCACCAUGUGCAGAGCCGGCCCAUGCCCCGAUCAUGAAGAUGGCCACCUUUCCGUAAGUGGAGGCCAGAGACCAAUCAGUGAGGCCACAGCCAUAUGCAUUACAGAAAGCCAAGCUGGGCGCAAAGAGGUAGAUGACCAAUAUAUAGUACCACUUGAGUUGGGGAAAUAUGUGGGGGACAGUGGCAAUUGAGACUGCAGCAAUGGCAACAUAGCCUCCAACAGCAAACCAUGCUGGAAUUUGGUCUUUGAGAAAGAGUUGGGUGCGGCGCUGGUCAUCAUAUGAGAGAGCAGAGGUCACAGCUGGAGAGACCUGAUCUUCAAUCGGGAGAAUGUUGUUCACAUCUUUGGCUCGGAGUUGGGAUUGCAAGGCGAUGAGGGUUCGACUUAGCACCUUCAAGAAGUUGUAUAGCCCGUCACCGAGGAUCAUGGCAAUGGCAAUGAAGACCUAAUGAAUUGAUUAAAUACAGUACAGGGUAGGUAAGUUUGAAGAUAACAAGUAUAACUUGUUCAAAACAAAAGCAGUAGUAGAAAAGAAAACAGAUCACACACCUUGUAACCUUGAAGGCCAUUCAUGCUUUUUGGGCUGAGUUCUUUGCUGUACCAAUCGCCACUCCUGUUUUCUAUGAGAGGCCACAUUAAACCCCAAGACAGAAUACCUCCAAGAAGAACAGAUAUGUUCACAAUGUAGGGGCAAAUCAUCCCUACUCCAACAUAUGUGGCCGAGAAAUCAAAGAAGAACCUGCAAAUAGAAAUUCAUGAAUCAUGAUCGAUCGAGCUACGUACCACAUUACAUUACAUAUAUAUAUAAUCGGACAGAUUCAAAUAAGAAUAAUGUAUAAGUAGUACUGGUUCUGAUAUGCUUUGAGGCCGAGCGUAGGGAAGCUUGCAAACCCACAAUCACUUCCAGCAGUAUAGAACCACUGAAAGAAACCCCACAAGAAACUGAAGGAGAAGAACUUUCCCAACUCCUUUACUUGUUUCCUAAUUGAAUAAUAAUAAUCCAAAGAAAAAAAAGGAGUUUAGAUUAGAACCAUAAAAUAAAUAAAAAAUAAUUUUGAAAUGAUUAAUUUUGAAGGAGGAGUUACUUGGCUAGCUUGGCUCCUUGAGGAGUGUGGAAACUGUUGAUAAGAUGAGCAGUUGCAGUGCCACUUGGAUAUGUCAAUUUGAAGUCUAUGAUCAUGAUCUGAAACCAAUCUCAUGUUAUCUUGACUAGUGAGUGAGUGUUGAAAGAGUUGAUUCAUUAAAGUUCUUAUAAGUUUAUUAAGUACCUUUCGAAGAGGCACGACAGAGAAGAGGCCGAGAAAGCUGACAACAAAGAGAAAGCCAAUGAACCAAAGCAAGCCUGGUUCUUUGAUAUCACUAGUACUGCUGUCUGCGGAUUGCUGGGCAAUGCGUGCACUCAUGCCAAACAGAUAGCUCCCAAACCCUCCUGUCAGUUUGUACAUUUACUUUACACAUUACGUACUUGAGUAAAUAAAUAUAUAAGCUUGGCAUAUCAUUAUAUCAUACAUACAUGAAUCAUGAUAGAUGAUACAAUACACCAUCAAUUUCAAUUCAAUCAUCUUUCCACUCACUAUUUAUCUUCAUAUAAUAUUGGGACCACCACCACACCACUUGCCUAAACUCAAUCUCUUCUUUUUUUUUUUUUUUUCUUUUUUUUCUUUUUUUUCUCGACCUAGUAGGAGCAUUGCCAGCUGGAGGGGCCAACCCGGACAAGAGACACCCUAGGCCUCCAAUCUUGUUUCUAUGGCCGCAAGCGCUGGGCUUCACCAACUUAGGCAAACUGAUCUCACGCUAACGUCAUUAGCCAAUUUAAAUAUAUAAAAAAUUGAAAAAAAAACAUGGUUGGUUGGUUUUAAUAAUUUCCUUGUUUCCUAAAAAAAAAAUUAAAAUAAAAGCAGAUUUUGUCAUUUUACCAAGCUAAGCCAGCAUGACAGAAAGAAACUAAUAAUUAACGACGUCAACAAAAUCAAAAUGAAUGAAGCUAGCUGGAUCCCAUCUUCAUCUUCAUCUUCAAGGAUGGCAGAUGGCGGAUGGCAGAAGAUCGAUAUGUUAAAUGUUAAUUAAUGUAAUCAGCUUAUUAAUUAGCAAAGCAUAAUGAAUGAAUGAAUAUAAUGAAGGUAGUAGAUAGACUGAUAGAUUUAAAAAAAACAAAAACAAAAAUCAGAAGAGAUAGAGUCUAGAGAUGAUAGAUAGAUAGAUAGAUACCGCUAAAGGCGAUGCCGGAGGAAGCAACGACGCAGGUCUGGAUAACAGUGUUCUCUUGCCUGGUGAAGGGCUGUUUGAGGAGGCCACACCUGUCGAGGAACUUGGUCCAAGUCCUGACAAAGAAAAAGCCCAAGAGUCCAGCAGAGACGUUGAGAGAAGGAAUAAUACCGGUGGUGAGGUUGAGCUUCAUCACUAUCAAACUGAAGAGCACGCUCAGCACAAGGCUUAUGAAAAACGCUCUCACAGUCAGCUGCUCCUUCCAUGACGGCACUGUUUGCUGCUCAAAUAUCCUUUCCACUGACAACUCCUCCUCCAACCCCAGAUUCUCCUUCUCUUCCUCUUCCUCGUGCUUGGUCAUCUUCUUCGGAUCCAGCGCCUCAAGCUCUAAAUCAUCUUUUCUCAAUCCUUGUACAAGUCCUGCUGCUGACGCAUGAUGAUCCCUUUGGUACUCUAACUGAUCAUCUUGUUCAAGUUGAUGUUGUUGCUGAGUACCCAUAAUUAAUAUUAUUUAUGAUAGCCUAAUGUAUUUAUGGGUACUCGUGAAUGUAUUGAUCAAUCUUGUUGAUUUGAGUUUCAGUUUGAGGCCGGGCCACAUGUAGUGUAGUGCUUUAGCCUUUUUUACUAGUAAUGCUGAAAGAAACCAACUUUUUUAUUGACACCAAAAUCAAGCAUUUGUUGUUUUCUCUCUCUAGGCUAGGGCCCAUUCAUUCUUGACUUUAUUUAUUAUUUGCAACAAAUAUAUCGAAUUAUAUUGAAUGGCUGAGUUUGCCUUUGAAUAUAUAAUAACAAGAAGAUACACACUACACUUCGUACUAUAAUACAAAUUAUGAUAAAGAGUGACGGUUGGUUCGUUGGUUUUUCCAAGGAGUGAGAAAGAUAAAAGGGAGAGAGAGCUGGAAAUUUAGAAUUAAUAAGAUAUACGAUGAGUUUAAGGAAUCUACAGCGUAAUAUAUCCUGUCCUUUUCACAAGUUUCAAACUUCCAAUACGUUAAAUAUCCCAUCCCAUCCCACCAAAAAAUAAGAAAAUAACUUUCAUGGAUUGGGAGCCAAACCAAACCAAACAAAAGCGGAAUGGAAAAUCAUCAGCUCCUUAAAUAAAAUGAUUGUGAAUUAAGAUGUUGCUAAUUGAAGGACUUGGAUUAAUUCAUGUUGGCUUGGACCAAACUAAAACUGAUCCAUAAAUUGAAUUUAAUUAAGGCAAGCAUGAGGAAAGUUGAUAUUUUCAGUACUGGUGCCUUGUGGUUUUGGAUGCAUCGUUCGUCCAUCCAAUUCCAACAUCAACAUCAACAUCCAUGUGAUGUUCCAAGGGUUGAAAGAAACUUGUACGCCUACAACUUUGAAAUGCAAUAUGAAUCAGAAGACCAGACAGCAACUAGCAAGCAACCAAGCAUUACAAGAAUAUAUAUAGACCAAGACGGCCAUCAAUAAACUCGGCUCACUUUAGCAAACUAGUCGAACCUGCGGCUUUGACUCUAUGAGAAAUCGACUUCUUAAAUGUUAGUUGUACAUAGAGAGAAUAUAAAGAAUUUUCGUAAGUGUGAUUGUCACACUGCUGCAUACAUUACGCUGCGUGAUUUUAGCAAUUGAGGUACUCUUUUCUCCCUCCUCUAAAUGAUAACGUUUUGAUUCCACUUCAAAUGCCAAUGAUCUCUCUCUCUCUCUCUCUCUCUCUCUCUCUCUCUCUCUCUCUCUCUCUCUCAAUUAUAGAAUUGGUAAUAGCGGGUGGAUUGUCAUUGUCAAAGAUAUAUCUUCUUUGUUCUUAGCUGGAACUUGGAGGAUGCCAAAAAAGAAUAUUCCGCCGGUUUUUUUAUUAAUAUGCGUCAACUCUUGAACCAAUAAUAUUGUAUUUUGGAUUUUUAUUUUUUUUAUUUUUAUAGGAAUUGUAUUUUGGGUUAUAUCGAGACAGUUUUCUAUUGUUUGAUUAAUUUUCCAAGAAAAGGAUGCGAACACAUGAAUUAGCACUGCCGAGUCAAGAUUACAAAGAAAGAUGACUCUCUGUAAAUUUUUAAAAACAUGUCACUUUCAAGACUCCAUAUAUAAUCUAUUCACAACUCCAUGGGCUUAAUGCUGCUGAGUGCUUGCUUUAGCUGGAGCCUGGAAGAACCACCACUCAGACUCAGCAUUCACAUCCUGUUCGGGGACAGACAUAUUGUCCCUUGUAUAUAUUUAUCAAACCCAUGUAUGACCAAAAUGCCAAUUAUUUUGUGAAUCUCAAUAAUUAUACAACCAUGUAAAGAGCAAGAUUUAGUACAAAACAAUAUUAACAAGUAGCCGAAAAUGUACAGAUAUUAUACAAACAUCUCACUGAGACUUAAGUUCAAAGACAUCAAACAGAUUCAAUACACGGAUCAUUGACUGACACAAGCACACCAAGUCUCUUCUUCAGCGUGCCUCAUACUGAACAACUGAAAAAACAACCAUGACUCGUAUAAAUCAAGCAUUGAAUAAUGUGAUAGAGAAUAUGAUACAGUGAUUAACAUAAUCAGCAAAGAAACACAAGAGCAACACUUGGACCGGAAAUUGGACUCACAACACCAUCAAAAUGGUAGCCAAAAGGCAUUCCACAGUGCUACAGAAAGGACACUACAAUGCAAUAGGAAAAAUAUAUAUGUAUAUGAUAGCAAUACAACUUGUGUGUGCGUGUGUAUAUCCCUUUUUUGUUUGUGUUUUAAAUAGGACUACAGGAUCGAUGGAUGAAGUUCUUUCCAAAGAGGAGCAUAUUAAUAUAACUUGUGCAUGUAUCAAAUGUGUGAAACUUGUGCUGGUAGUUAGUAUAACACGGUGAUCCCAAUAUGACAGAUAAGAAAAGAAAUGAGUCUACAUAUAGCACAUUACUAUAGGGCUAGCAUAUAACUUAAUGCUUUACAUAAACAAAAUGGCACGCCAAAACAAUUGCCUUUAAUCAAUCAGUUUAACUCUCUAGGAAGAAGAAAAAUAAAGCAGGGAACAAGAGACAUAUGUGUGUAUUGUUUUGUUGGCACAACAGAUUGUGAUUAGCCUACACCAAGAUGCACCAAUACUGCUAGACUAAUCACUGACCAUAAUCAGUAGGAAUUCCGGACCAAAUUGAAUUGAAGGUGCAUAAUUGGGUGCAAUGCUUUAAUUGACAUUGCUCUAGCAAUCCCACAGAGACAGCAUUGGUGCAUCGUGGUGUAGGCUAAUCACAAUCUGUUUUAUACAGAUAAAACCAUAUCCUCAAAACCAGAAGCCCAAAAACUAACUAAAACCAUUUGGCAUCAACAUAACUACCUUGUACACACCCUAUCACUUUACUUACAAGUAAUUGUCGGUUGUCAUGGUGUAGUAAGUUUUUAAUUAGGACUGGAAAGAUAACAGCUACUAAUUACCAAACAAGAAGAACGCAUGAAAUGUAAAGCAUAUCCACAUCUUACACUAAAAGGACAGCAACCAGACGAACACUGUGUUUUUUACCAGGCUUUUAAAAGUUCAACUCACAAUAACAUUCCAAUCACCGAAAUCCACAAUGGACGACUGAAAUUUGAUCCUUGAGAAAACCCAAUCCCCAAAUUUAUAUACUUUUCAAUAGCAAGUAAAGAAUUGAAUAUGCAACAAUUCAAUUCAAGCAUAUACAAGUUAAUGUAUUUCACCCAGUAGAAAACGAGCAUUCAGUGAGGAGGACAGAAUCAAUUUCAUUGAAAAAGCAAAAAAAGAAGAAGAAAAAGUUGAUCGCAAUAAAAGGAAAGAAUACAUCAUACAUGGUGGUAAGGUAGGUAAUAUAAAUGAAAUCUAUGAGGAUAGGGACUUACUGCGACGAGUGCGCUUCUUGUAUAAGAUACGGUAGCCGCAUUCACGGCAUUGAAUCACAUCGUUUGGCUUCAAGGGAAUCUCCAUCCCACAAUCUACAACAACACAAACACUAAUUUAGUGUCUAUUUGCUAGCCUAGCCAGCCAACUUUCUCCAACAACAAACGCAAAAUCAGUACCUCCACAGAUGUAGUAGACUGGCUCUGGCUGCGGAUCCAUGAGAUUACGUUCAAAAAGGGCUUUCUACUUCUAGGGUUUAUGAUAUUCGAGCAGAAUUAGUUUCGUUUCGAGGGGUUCUCGUUUUUGACUGUAUUGUAUAUACGCGUGUGUAUAUAUACGACAUGCAUUGAUUGUUGGAUGGCUCCAUCGUGGUCGGAAAUUGGUUUGGACUUGGAGUUUUAAGCCCAAACAAAUUGGACUGGAUUGUUAGUCAGAUAGCAACUUGGGAUUUAGGGACAGCCGAAGCUUGUCUUUCUAGUUUGUAACUUGUACACCCAACCCAGCGGCUUUUAGUGAUAAAAUUUCAAAAUGCAAGGGAAAGAAAGAGUAGAGGGACGAGGGUGCUGCUACCAAACCAGACCAGUCACAAUUUUGUUUUGUGUUUGGCAAUUUGGCAAAUUGGCAAAUUGACACUCACAUCGCAUUGCAGGCAGUGGAUUUAUUACUAUUAGAGUAUCUAUAAUGAUUGUUCAAUAGUUUAAUUUCAAUGCAAUAGUUCAAGUAUCUAUUGAAUUGAACGGUGGUUUUACUUGAAAUGGUAUAGUUCAAUAACUUCAGUUUAUUGGUAUGUAGGUCUCAUAAUUAGCUUCUAUUACAAUGAACUAGAUCACACCUUUACAAGUGAGAAUUUAGAAAAUUAUAUGUACAUGUUAUGUUUGUAGUCUAGUAAAUUAGACCAAAGAAAAAAAAAAGAAAAAAAACUUUGCUUCUUAGAAACUUUUCGCCUUUUGAAUCGGAUGAAAUGCCAUAUCAUCCUUAUCCCCAUUAUUUGAGAGUAGAGAGAGAUUAUUCAAUUUAUUCCAGAUCCAGACUACUACUAAGUCCUUUUCUAUAAAACAAAAACAAAUGCUGUCUGCCAGUGCCCACCAUUGCCAAGACAAUUAACUAUUAAAUAGGUGGGCAAGGCAACCUCAUCCAUCCUCCACCUUACCUAAUAAUAAUUAAUAAUUAUAUGGUCAAAGAAAACAUGAUUAUUACUAUUAUUAUUUUAUUUUAUUUAAUUUUAACCCAAAUGGUAAUGGAGUUUAUGACUAUUAUUAUUUGGUUGGAGUUUGUUUUGUUGCGGUCAAGUCGUGAAGUAAGUUUUUGGGAAACUUGUUUGUUUAAAUUUUAGAAAAAGGAACUGCAUGCAAUUUGCAGACAAACAAAAGCACAGCAGCCCUGGGCUGGCGGUGGGAUGCAUGUGCGCAAAACAUAAACUACAACUAUUACUAACUUGUUGCUGCAGCCUGCAGGCAGGUUGAGCACAGUAUCUCUUUCUUCUGUAUAUAUGUGCUAUGUGGCUAUGUGGUGUUCAUUAUUUAUGCAGCAUAUAUCAUAUAAGUUAUAACCUGAGUGAGUUCAUUAAACCAAUAUUAGAAUUAGAAUUUAGAGUAGCUAGCUCACUACUAAGUUUGUUUAUCAAAUUUUGCUCAUCAAGUCUUUUCUUUUGAUUUUUGAUUUUUAAUUUUCAAAUAUGGGACUCCAAUUUCCAUGUAUCUUUAUCAAUCAGUCAAAUUAGCACAAAUUUAGUGACUCUGUGUUGGUCCAACUCAGUCUGUCAGCCAGCCAUCUUUUGUUGACUUGGAAGUUGAUGGAAAAGUGAGGCUACUUUAAAUUCCAAGCUAGCCCAUUGCCACGAAAUUGCUUUGCUUGCUGCUGCAUCAUAUAUGACAUGUUGAUCGUUGAUGUUGCUUCUAGAAAGAAAAUGUACAUAUAUAUAUAUAUAUAUGUUCAACUUCAACAGUCAGUCAACAACUCCACAAGGAGAAUCUUUGAAACUUGUAUCCUGUAUUAUAUUAAUUUAUAUGGAUGGCAUUCAUUUGUAUUGUUAUUAUUGUAUCUCUCCUUUUAAUAAGUAGCUGGCUAGAGAUAGAGAAGAGAGACUCGAGACUUUUCAAGACCAAGGCUCAUUGACAUUUGCCAUCCGCAGACAAGCUGCACCAGGAGGCAGGAGGCAGAGAGGAUCUUCAUACAUGGAAAUGAAACACCAUUUUGCAGAUGAAUAUGUUGCAAAUCCGUAUAUGAACUCGUAUGGCACAACACCAGAGACAGACAGGCAGCAGCAGCACUCUCUAUCUGAACCUAUCAGCUUAUGCCACAGUCCAUCUUCUUCAGAUUGCUCUUCCUCCUUCAAAACCAGUAAUUACAUACUCUUGCUACUUUACUUGAUGUAUGUAUGUAUGGGUGUGUGUAGCUAAUAAUUUAAUAAUCAUGUAUAAAUAAAUAAAUAUCCAAUUUGUUGCAAAUUGCAAUCAAGUAAGUAUAUUGCCUGGCUAACAAUAUAAUAUAAUAUAAUAUAUAGAUGAAGAAGGUGAUUCAGGGAAAGGCCUCAACACCAAAUUUGGGAAGAAAAGUAGCAGUUUCGCAUACAGGAUACGCGAGCACGGUGAGAAACUCAACCAAGAUGAUUCAUUAGAUAUUGGAAGACUUGACUUUAUUUGACUCUAAAUAUUAAUGCAGUGAAACUUGGGCCCAAGCUGUCUGAAACUGUCAAGGGGAAGUUGAGUUUGGGGGCAAGAAUUAUUCAAAAGGGUGGAAGGAGGAAUAUAUUUAAACAGAUAUUUGGUGUAAAUGAAGGAGAGGAGCUGUUGAAGGCCUCCCAGUGCUACUUAUCAACCACGGCGGGUCCUAUUCCUGGCCUGCUUUUUAUUUCCACUCAAAAGCUUGCUUUUUGCAGUGAAAGAUCCAUCUCUGUCCCUUGUGCUGCAGCUGCAACUGCAACUGGGCAAGUCGUUCGAACGCCGUACAAGGUUUUUAUUCGUUUCUUACUCUUCUUCUAAUAUCUAAUCUUCUAUUAUAAUUUCUAUAUAUGAAGACGACAACUUAUAUAAACGGGCGGAAUGGAUGUUUUGCAGGUUCAGAUACCAAUAAGGAAGAUCAAAAGAGCUAACCAAACCGAGAAUGUGAACAAACCACAACAGAAGUACAUAGAAAUAGUUACCGAGGAUGAUUUCGAGUUCUGGUUUAUGGGAUUCUUACGCUAUGAAAAAGCUUUCAGAAAUCUUGAAAAGGCCAUUUCCAUUACCAACCAAAACUAGAACAAAUUUAUAAAAUCCAUCCAUCAAACAGACUCGACUCCUACCAUUAAGCUACAUGAUAUGUGUUUUUUGGAGCGCUGCAAACAAGCUACCUCUAGCUAUCUUCUGUGGUAUUCUUUCUUGUAUUUUCCUCCUUUUUAGUUUCUUGGCUUUUUGAUGUCUGCCUGCCUACCUACCUACCAUGUAAUAAUCAUGUCAAGUUGAUGUACGCUAUUGUUUCAUGGUUUGGUUCUGAAUUCUGAAUUCUGAAUUCUGAUGAUGUGAUGAGUUUGAUUUUCAGGAAAUUUUGAUAUAAAAUAAGGACAAGCUGAAUUAUCUUAACCCUGCCUGGUAAUAAUUAAACAAAAAUCUUGCUGAAUAAAUUAAUUCAAUAUCACCGACAACAAAUGGACACGGCUUCUGAAACGAUUAAUUGGCGCAACGCAACCGUGAAAUAAAAGGCGCUUUUGUGUAGCGGCAAGCAGCUACCGAACUCAACUCGCUGACGAUAUAUUCGUUCCGUCGGUUAACCAACAGACUUAAAUCACAUGCACUCUGCGAUAUUUUCUCUCCUAGUUGCUACCCUAAACCCCCUCUAAAUCCUAAGUCUAACAUAAAUAGUUAAUUAAAAUAAAACAACAUAUGCAACCACCUAACUGCAUUCAAACAGGAUGCUUCUUUCAACACCUCGACAGUCACAAGACAGUAAUCAUUAAACACAAUAAUCGAUCAAGAAUUAGGAAAUAGUAAAACUAGAUUUUAACCAAAAGAUAAAAGUAACUACUCUCCAGAGUAUCACAAGGAGAAUCACAACAACCACGGUCAGACUUUUUAAAAAAAAUAAAAAAGGUAAAAGUAAAAUAAAAAACUUUCAGAAAAUUGAAAGUAUAUAAAAUGACACAAAAUCCCCUUGAAACUCUCUAAGAAGCUUGCUUCUCCUCCUCCUUGUCCUUCUCCUCUGCAGCGGCUUCAAAGGUCUCACCAGCAACAAGCUCAGGGACGUCGUCGUCAUCAUCCUCUU
rnacentral:lncRNA from 1 species